rnacentral:snRNA from 1 species
AAACCGCGGUGUAGCGCGGA